UCCUGCAAAUAAUCCAACACAACAUAAACAACUUACAUCAAUCAGAUUAAUAUAGGCAACACAAUAAGCACACCACACAUACGAUGAUGCGAACGAAAUUGCAUAUAGUUACGUCAACUCGGACGUACAUCUAAUGUCACGUGAUUAUUAUUGGGCCAAAUUUAUGCCUUGAACGUCAAAGUAGUCGUAAAAUUCGCAGCCGUGUGACAUGUGACAAAGCGAAUGUGAUUUUUUUUUGCGCGCGAAUAUUCGCUAUUUUUACAUCAAUCAUCUCUCGCGAGAGAAAAGCAGGGCACACAUGGCGGCUGGCGGUUUUUACUUUUACUUGAUAUUGAAGAUAAUUAGUUUUUGGCAGCGGCGAAAAUUCGCCCGAAAGUUAAUUCAAGCCGUGACCGCGCUGCGCAAAAAUUCGCAAUAAAACUAAGCCAUGAAAUAUUUUAAAUAGGAACGUUUAGUCUUCGCAGAAAAAAAAAUUACUACCUCAACGAACCGAAACAAAUGUUGGGCACAUGUCGUACAUUUUACAUUUAGUGCGUUCGGCGUGUGUGAAGACCAAUAGAGGCCAAUUUGUUCGUCAUUAUUCAUGCUCGUAAAUCUAUUCGAUAAGGCCGCGUUUAACAAAUUGCUUUUUUAUUAUUAUCAACGCAUAUAAAAUCAAACUUGUUAUCAACAUUUGAGAAGUGAAAUUAAUGUCUAUUGCGAAAUGGUAUUGCGCAAAACGCAUCUUAUCUCGAAAUAUUAAUAAAUAUUACAUCACGCCGCACGACAGAGAAAAAUAACACAGAAUGUUGCAUUUGCAUUUCUUCAUUUUACGACCUGCAAAUGCAAACAAGUCACAUUUCAUACUGGUAUCAUGUUGCAUAGGUUGUGGUUUACCUGCAUGAGGAAUGUAGAUUCGUCUCCCUGAAGAGAUUGUAGCAGUCCUCGCAGAUGCGGUCCAACCGCGCGAAUAUGCUCUUGUCGUAGACGCCUUUGCACUGGAUGUCAAAGAACGACCGCUUGGUGAGAUGGUGCGUGAGCAGUGGUUGCGUCCGUUGUGUCGGACUGCCCGAAGUCAUCUGAAGAACCAAAGCGACAGCCAUGUAUGCCCACACUCCUUGAGUGCUUAUGCUCGUCGGUCUGUGAUGCAUCUGGAACAAGCACGAAGAUUUGUUUAAUAGUCACGCUUGGUUGAUGCCACUGGGCUAGUGCUCCUGCGCACUGAGCAUUAAUCGAGGUGUGUCCGCGCGACGCGCUGUCUCCCUAGUUCAGCCUUGGAUAUUGGACAUUUUUCAAUGCAAAGAACAAAGAAAUCGCCGCGUUAUAUAACCAGUGCGAUCACGAUGAACAAAAUAGCGAAUUUCAGGGGUUUCCCGAUUUCCCGCCUCAGUUACAGAAGGUAAUCGGCGUAAUUAUUGCAUUGAUUCAUGUUUUCUAUAAAUAAAAGUCAUUACAUCGGUAA